rnacentral:rRNA from 1 species
UACGAGGGGGGCGAGCGUUGUUCGGAAUUAUUGGGCGUAAAGGGUGCGUAGGCGGUCGGGUAAGUCUGAUGUGAAAUCUCACAGCUUAACUGUGAAACUGCAUUGGAUACUAUCCGGCUCGAGGAGUGGAGGGGAGACUGGAAUACUUGGUGUAGCAGUGAAAUGCGUAGAUAUCAAGUGGAACACCAGUGGCGAAGGCGAGUCUCUGGACAUUUCCUGACGCUGAGGCACGAAAGCCAGGGGAGCAAACGGG